UUGACCUCAAAUCAGGUAGGACUACCCGCUGAACUUAAGCAUAUCAAUAAGCGGAGGAAAAGAAACUAACAAGGAUUCCCCUAGUAACUGCGAGUGAAGCGGGAAAAGCUCAAAUUUAAAAUCUGGCAGUCUUUUUUUUCUUCUUUGGCUGUCCGAGUUGUAAUCUAGAGAAGUGCUUACCUGCACUG
rnacentral:rRNA from 2 species